GUGGAAGCACGGUAACGUGUGGAGCUGACCAAUACUAAUCGGUCGAGGGCUUAUCCAAAU
rnacentral:rRNA from 1 species